GAUGAACGCUCGCUGUGUGCCCAACACAUGCAUGUUGAACGGGAUGUAGCAAUACAUUCAGUAGCGAAUGGGUGAGUAACACGUACCUAACCUACCUUUAAGACUGGGAUAACUAUUGGAAACAAUAGCUAAUACCGGAUAUAGUUAUUUAUCGCAUGAUGAGUAAUAGAAAGGAGCUUCACAGCUUCACUUAAAAAUGGGGGUGCGGAACAUUAGUUAGUUGGUAGGGUAAUGGCCUACCAAGACGAUGAUGUUUAGCCGGGCCGAGAGGCUGUACGGCCACACUGGGACUGAGAUACGGCCCAGACUCCUACGGGAGGCAGCAGUAAGGAAUUUUCCACAAUGAGCGAAAGCUUGAUGGAGCGACACAGCGUGCAGGAUGAAGUUCUUCGGAAUGUAAACUGCUGUUAUAAGGGAAGAAAAAAUAGAAUAGGAAAUGAUUUUAUCUUGACGGUACCUUAUUAGAAAGCGACGGCAAACUAUGUGCCAGCAGCUGCGGUAAUACAUAGGUCGCAAGCGUUAUCCGGAAUUAUUGGGCGUAAAGCGUCCGUAGGUUUUUUGCUAAGUCUGGAGUUAAAUGCUGAAGCUCAACUUCAGUCCGCUUUGGAUACUGGCAAAAUAGAAUUAUAAAGAGGUUAGCGGAAUUCCUAGUGAAGCGGUGGAAUGCGUAGAUAUUAGGAAGAACACCAAUAGGCGAAGGCAGCUAACUGGUUAUAUAUUGACACUAAGGGACGAAAGCGUGGGGAGCAAACAGG
rnacentral:rRNA from 1 species